UACGAAGGGGGCUAGCGUUGCUCGGAAUCACUGGGCGUAAAGGUGCGUAGGCGGGUCUUUUAAGUCAGGGGUGAAAUCCUGGAGCUCAACUCCAGAACUGGCCUUUGAUACUGAGGAUCUUGAGUUCGGGAGAGGUGAGUGGAACUGCGAGUGUAGAGGUGAAAAUUCGUAGAUAUUCGCAAGAACACCAGUGGCGAAGGCGGCUCACUGGCCCGAUACUGACGCUGAGGUGCGAAAGCGUGGGGAGCAAACAGG
rnacentral:rRNA from 1 species